GGAAGUUGCAGUGGAUACUGACUGAGCCAAUCCACAGUACCUACCAUAAAGAUACGGCGAUGCGAGAAAGAGAGCCUGGCACAUCCUGCCAAGUGGGAACAUACUGAAUUAGUGAGAGAAAUGGAGGAAACUACAGUCUGAGAACAAGCAGGAAGCCUACCAGAGACAAGAUAGUGCUGAGCUUAUCUUGUACGAGUAGAAUAAACCUCUCAGAAUCUUGGGAGCAGAAUGAUUCUACAGUCCUCUGGAUAGGACUGGGAAAGAAGAAUCAGAAAGACUUAGCUCACGUCAGAAAUGAAAAGAGAAUUUGUAUCCUCAACUUCAUUUCAUCUAUGCAACCCUCCCUGGAGUGGAGCUUCUGCAACUGAUUUGCUGCACCUAAGUCCUGCUACCUACUAAGGGCCCAAAGGAAAAGGAGUAUGUCAAGGCUGUAUAUUGUCACCCUGAUUAUUUAACUUCUAUGCAGAGUACAUCAUGAGAAAUGCUGGGCUGGAAGAAGCACAAGCUGGAA